rnacentral:lncRNA from 1 species
CAGUACCCAGGGAUCGAGUAGAAAUUGAUUAGAGAGAGACCAUGCGGGCGGGAGUAGAAUGGAUCGAUUCGAUUUUGCGAUUCAAGCUAGUUCGAUGCGGAAAAGGAAGAAGAGAUGGCCGGAAACCCUGCCGCCGCCGCCGGUUAACAGUACGGGCCGCGUGUGCCGGAGACCUCAUCCCCGCUACCCCGGGGGCCGGGGCUUAGAAAAGGGCAGCUAGGCUAGCCGUUGGGGCGGGGCGGCGCGGCGCGGGGCAAGUUUGGGGUUAUCUAGGGGGGCGGCCGGCGUACGUGGAGCGCGGCGGCGGCGCGCGGGGGGGCGGGGAGGAGCGAAGGGGCGGGGCGCCUGAUGACCGGCCGAACCCGUUUAGCAGCUCUGCUCGGGUGUUUGUGGGGGAGUAAACAAUGCGCGCGUGUCGGAUUUCUGUACCCAUGGGUCGGAUAAGAAAACGCCCAUUCGUUCGCUUCGCACUACCGUAGAACGGAUGGAAUCGAAGCGAGAAGAGAGAUGGAGCGGGCGAUGGUACCUUGUGGAAUCGAUCGAUCACUGGUGCCUGCGCGUCUGGAACCGGAAGAAGGCAAAGAUAGCUUCGUGCUGCACGUCCUUGGGUUGCUGCUUCUUUGCUUGGGAAUUGAGAUCCUCGGAGGAAGGGAAGGGAAUUGAAGCGCCUCUGUUUUUCUUUUUGAAGGAGGAAAAAUAUGAGUCCAAUGAGGGCGAUUGGGUGGGGGGGGGGGGGGGGGGGGUGGGCAGGGGGAGGAAGCGAGUGGUUGGGUGAAUACUACGUGGAAGUUGCGACGCGUGUUGGGAAAUUACGCGUGGAAGUUGCGACUCGCGCCAGCCUGGGUACCCGGAAGCACGAGCAAGCGUACGUGCCACGCUACUACUGUCACUCAAAUAAAAUGCUAAACAAAACAUAUCAUCCGCUCCACUUGUACAAGCUCAGAGGAAUUCUCCCCUUGUACAGGCUCAGGGGAAUUCUCGGUUAUGUCAAAUGUGUGUGCGUAGACAUACUUCCUCCGUCUAAAAAUAAGUGAUGUGGAUCUGUAUAAAAACCUAUACACAUCCGAGUCAUUUAUUUCGGGAUGGAGGAAGUACUAUGGAUAGCAUUAUGGUGUUCUCGUGAAAAUAUCGAUGGAAACAAUUAAUCUCAUAAAAGGAAAGAUCUUUGCAUGCUUCUUUGACCGCAAAGUUCCGUUAAAGAAAGAUAAUCUCGCCGAAAAAAAGUUGCACGGGAUGCAUGAACUGUAGCUUUUGUGACACGGAGGAGUUGGCUAAAUAGGUAGACAAAAACACUAAAGCUCACGUAUGGGUGGAAGUGUGUGUUGUUUGUUGGACCAUCUGAAAUUGCAAGAAUAGUACUUCCUCCAUUCCAUAAUUUUUGUCGUUUUUUUAGGAAUAGAUGCAUUAAUUUCUUGGCAAAUUUGAGACAAGAAUUAUGAAACGGAGGGGGUAUUAUUUUUAACAAAUUCAGAGUUAUUCGCUUUUAACAGAUUCAGAGUGGAAUCGAUACAUCCACUGCAUUGACCCAUCUUUGGUCUUUCCUCCUCCUUUUGGCCAAGCGGGAGCGUUCGGCUUCUAGGUGUGACGAGACUUGAUUUCGGCAAUGCCCAUGAUAGUGGACUUGUGUUUUGUGAGAGCAAUGAGUGUGUACUGGUGAUCCUGUCGGCUAACAACAAGGUUUGGGGCCCUCGUGGAGGUAAUACCCCUACUCCUCCUGCUCGUCGGUGAUGGUAUUGAUGAGAGAUUACAAGGUUGCCGUGCAGGCUAUGGUGCGCGGAUUGGAUCGGGCGAGUGUGCAUGGGAUUGCUUAGCCUCUUCGGUCCUCCUUCCUAGUCCUUUAUACAUAAGGCUAGGUCUCAGCUGUGGAAUUCAGGUCGGUUACAACAGAAAAAAAUCCUAAAUUAUUUUCCUUAUCUUGAGCCGCAAUUCCAGGUGCUUGGGCUUCACUGAUUGUAGCGGGCUUUUGAGUGGGCCUUCCUCCAGGACCGUAGAAAGUAUGCUCAAGGCAAGGACCUAGUCGAGUAUGACCAUGUCAAGGUGCAUUAGGAUGGAGAUGGUCAUUCGAAAUAUCUCCAACCAGCUGCUUGGCUGACGACCUGUUACUAUAAACUGCAUAAUGCAUAGGCACUAUCUUCAGGACCUUUGUUUUAUUUGGCUUACUUUUUUAUCCACUGUGUGGGAUAUCCGUUCUUUGUGAUAUUGGAAUGAUAUAACUAUGCAAUAAAUGUGCGUGCAUCUUUUGAAAUGAAAAAAAAUGCGUUUUUGAUCAUAAUCUGCCUAGGAGCGCGUGAUGGAACGGGGUGGGGGCCUAUGGCUCUAAAAUGCAGACCAAGAUCGUUAGUGAGCUGUCUGCUGGCCCCACCUAGCGUGGUCGUGGAGAGAGAGAGAGAUCCUCGGAGGGGACAGCAAAAUACAGCAACGGCUUAAUUAACACUGGGGCGGUCGGCGUGCUGGCUGCUAAAAGGUCCCGGCUGGCAUCGAGAGUACGUAGGUGGGAGCGGCAGGAGACACUCACGGACGGACCCACCGGACCGGCCUACACGCACGGCACGUGAGUCGUUGCUCUGCCUCGCGGCCACCCCUUCGGCAUGGACGCGUAGGAAGGAAUAAUGCUUGUGCCCGGAAUAUUCCGAAACCGUACGUAUGAAAAUCACGAAUCGGUUGAAAAUUGUCCGAAUUUGUUGCUUGGGAGGGCCCAGCUGCGGUAGGUCCAGUCCGGCAGCUACAGGACAGAUCAUGCACGCCCAGCCAUGUGGCCGUCCGGCGGCAGAGACAUGAUAUAUGUACGGGGAAGCUCAAGCCGGAAGCGGCAGUCGAGAGUCGAGACCGCACACGCUUUGGGGAAAAGGUGCCGGGUGCACGUGCCGUACCGUAUCGUACGGCGCGUGAUCAGCGCAUGAUCUGCAGUCGUCCAGCGUGCCGUGACGGACGCGCCAGCUCGUUAAUUCGGACUUGAUUCUCUUCGCUUUAAAUCCAUCCGUGGUUCGAGAACGCGUUAUGCGAAUCAAAACUGGUGGUUUCGGUCGGACGCAUUUGAUCUCACCCCUACACGUGUCGACCUACUCACGAACGGACGGGAUGCAUUAUUCUGUCGCAUGGAAUGGAUCAAUCUCUCUGGCAAUGACAAGGACGGUACAACCACCACUUGCCAGUUGCCUCUACGUACGCCGGGGUGGAGACUGGGGAGCUUCGCGGCCAAGGAAGCGACCAAGCCAACUGACAAGUAGAGACAAUGGUGGACGGCAGAGAUAAGAAAAUGAUUGCUUUGCCCUUUUUCUCUUUUUGAGGAAUUACUAUUUGUUUAAUGAUUGCCAAAUCUUGAAAGUAAGGUACGCACUACUUUUUUGGCAUCCACGGAUGCAAGUAAGGUACGCACAACUUUUUUGGCCUUUAAUUUAUUCUACACAUGCCAAUUUUUAGCUUGUCUCAUUAGUUUAGUUUUUGCCACAGAUGUUCUUGUGGUUUGUGACCAAUCUGCUAGCCACCAAAAGUUAUGUGUAGCCUGUCGUACUUUUGGCAUACAGAUAUAGCAAAGUGUAUAAAAAGUCAAAAACACCACGCCCUAAAUGCAUAGAGAGAAAAUAAUCCAUGAUAGAUGCAAAUAGUAGUACACAAUAAACUGAUGCGACUCUCUCUUCUCCUCUCGCACGCUAGCUGGUGAUACUAUAGUGGGUACGUAAUGGGUGUGGUUAUAUCUCAGUUGACUGAUUUUAAGAAAAGAUUUAAAUCUAAGUUGAAGUAUCAGAACCGUUGCAUUAUUAUUUGUAUGCUAUCCCACUCUUCUAUAUUCCAUUGUUUGUUCUGAAUUUUAAAGUAAAAAAACAUACCCAGUGGUUGACGUAAUAAAAAAAUCAGAUAAUUUGGACAAACCAACCCAUCUAAUUUUUUAUUGUUUGUUCCACGAUACACCUCAUUUUUUUUCUGGCUCCACCUAGUCAAUAACUGUUCACACUCAUUUACUCUUAAUUCAAUAUGACUGGCCAGACACUGUAACGAGAGUUUGCUUGAUUCAAGUGCACAAAUAUGUAUGAGUUGUUUUGUGACACGGAGAGACUAGCAAACCAAAAGACAAAAAUUCGAAUAGAGUUGGUUAAUUAAUUCUGAGCAAAUCGUGUCCUGAUCAUCAGCCAUGCAAGCUAAAUCCUGUCCAGUAUCCAAAAGAUAACAACAGUACAAGUAUAGAGUACUAGUGGAGUAGUAAUAAAUAAGUGAAGCGGUAAAGACUAAAAGAGGCAGCAGCUGACGGCCUGAAAGCAACCGUCGCAGGUAACGCAAAGCACGCCGAUAAGCUGAGUCGCUUAUCACGCACCGUCCCGACCCGGCCGGUUCCCGCCACCUUGCCGAAAACGCGUGGCCCUUUUUUCUUGUGCCGUCACAUGACCUGGGUGCGCAGUUUGUCUUGUAGCUGCCGUCGACGGACUUAUCACUCGAGGAUGAGGAAGAAACCUCUGCGUAUGUGUACUUUGGUUGAUCGGGCGUUUCGGUUGGGUGCUUUCCUAGGAAGGUCACCGCCGGGCCGUACGACUCGUACGAUCAUACCCAUCUUACGAAUCCCAACUCUCAACCGAGAUCCUUAGCAUCGAAACAAGAAAGAAGCGAUCGAAAGCGCGAACAAGUUGGGAACGAUUAAUUAACCAUUGUCUGCAUGAACUCUUAAUUACUACGGAGUACUAGUAGUAUUAUUAGAAUGAAACUUAAAAUUACUCGAAAUGAUUACUCUCUCGAUCGACCUCUCCAUAUAUAUAAAGCCAUGCGUACGUAUGUAGAACGUACUGUUUGAUCGGGCAAUUAGUCAGUUUGAUACACGACUCUUUUCCCGUACUAGUCUGGCCGUAGUAGCAGCUAGUUGAUCCAAUUAACUACAGUAAAAAGAAGAAGCAGUGGAUCUAAUUAAUCUAAUACGCUGCCCGCAAAUGACGGUUAGCUAGGGAAGAGAGGGAUUAAUUAAGGAACGCCGGGGAGAAAUUAAUUAACGGCCGUGCUAUGCGUAUGACAAUUUCCAUCCGACGCUUGUACGAUUCUAUCUGUACGUGGCUACGAGCUGGCUGUUAAUUUUCUCUUUCUUGGUCGCCUGUGUGUUCCCCAAGUCCAGGCCUAGGCAAGCCCAAAACCAAUCGGUCAGAUCCAUUCAUCGUCUUCUUUCUCGUGCCUGCAAGGCUGUGACCCAGCUCUGGAUUGCUGCCGCUGCUGGUUCUCCGACAACAUCAUGGAUCUCCAUCCUUAUCUUUGGUCGCUACCCCUAUCACAACCAUGUCGUCGUCGUCGUCUUUCCUCACCGACGUCGCUGCCGUAACUGUUAGAGUGAUCUCCCAGCCGUGUGGGCUCAACGGCCCAUCGGGCCUAGAUCUGACGCGUCCUGAUCGGGGGCGCCCAAUCCAAUAUGGUUGGCGGGCCCUUGUCGCGUUGCGCUAUAUAAAGAGGUGGGGGGCCGGGGCACGCACUACGAGGUUCGCUGCGUUGCCGUCCACCCCACCGACAAAUCCCUUCCGAUCUAGGGUUGCGCAGAGGCCACGGAAAGCUUUGUCCCCGCCGUCGUCCCCGCCGUCUUUCCCUCACCGUCGCUCCCUCGCCAUCGACAUGGCCGCUCCGUCAAGCUCCUCGUCGUCCCAAGGCGAAGGUAACUCUAUCCUUCUCUCUCUCUCUCUAGCCCCAUACCCGAAUGCCAUGUUGAAUCACAGAAAGUAGUAUACCUGGCUAGAUCUACACCUAGACGAAUUCUAGGACGCAACAGUAACCAUCCCGUUUUCAUCCUCGCCGCCGUCGUAACCUUGCCAUCCUAAUCCUCGGUGGUCGCCGCUGCCAUCGCGACCAUCCCGUCCUUGUCUUUGGUCGGUCGGGGGCGACCGCGCGUACAACAAAUACUACUUUCAUCACUAGUCAUCCUGAUGUGCUCAUCCGAGUCUAAGGAGAAUCUCAAGGGCAGGAAAUCUGACUUGCAAAGUAGAACGUACAGGUUGUUUAUGUGCUCUGCUUUUGAUACAGUGGCUCUACAUGCUUUCAUAAUGUGUAUGUAUGCAAAGCUUGUUGAAUUAUUCUAUGAAAAUUCAGUAGCUCAUGGAGCUAUCAGUUGUAAACCCAAGUAUUCGGCAAGAAUUACAGUACUGUAGUUUCAUAAUUGUUAGGCAAAGAAUGGCACCAUUUCUUCAGUUUCCCCCUCCAAUCUAAGCUACUAAUUGAACGAGAAUUCGAUCAGAACAUCUUUUAGUCACAAUAUUUGCCCUUUCGAUUCGACUUACAUGCAGUGCUGCAGAUUACACCUGACUUAGAUUGAUUUGCAGAUCACCAAAAGGAGGGAAGAGAAAGAGGCGUAAAAGGUUAAGUCGGGAGAGGAGUUGUGGAGAAAUUCUUACGGCCGGGAGACUAAGUAUUUCGGGUUUGUAUUUGGACUGGGCCCGAAGCCUGGGAGGAGCUAGACAGAGGAAAGAAACAAACGUGCCUAGCAAACCUCGUACAGCGAUCGGACGUGAAAACGUCGUAGGCGAAGCAAUUCUGAUUAAUUAAAGGAGGAUAUCUGGAAAUGAAAGGAGUGAUGUGAUUCUUCGGGAAUGUUCCGAUGGAGCACCGCAGCGCGUCCAUGUCGAGCGAAUUAUCGCGAGGGCGUCGCGACCGGGAGAGACGACUCCAUCACGUGUUGAGCGAGUGAGCGUGCAUGUAGCAAAGGUCGGUCGAUGGGUACGAGUACACCCUGACCCGGCCUGUCGCAAGACUCGCAACCCACUGCCAGCGCACCAAGCCGUCGCCCCAUUAUUAAUUAUAGUUAACGAUAUUUGUCGUGGAGAAAAACCGAAAAGAGGGUGCGUCCGUGUGGUUACCAUUUGCAUGGCACGCACGCUUGCUAGCGGGACGGCCCGGCCCCGGCGCAUCAUGGAUGGAUGGCGCCGCCGUCAGUCAGUUUGCUACGCAGCGUUUGUGGACGACCGAAGCGUGCAAUUCAGCUGAGUUGUGCCCGUAAUUUCGACCACGCGUAGUAUCCACCCCACGUUGGCUCGAGACCGUUGCCCAAGGCCGGCUCUCAACCUCUUUCUUCUGCGCGGAUAUACCAGGCUGCACCCUACGCAAAUCGACACAAAUUUCUCCCAGAAAAACAAAACCCCCCAGAAAAGCUCUCUUCUGCUCGAUCGUCGAGACGACGCACCCACGUAUCCAACCCAGCUGGAGCCAAAGCAAUCCCUCUCCAUUUUAUUCGUCCGCGCCUUUCUGUCGUUUUUGAGUCUCUCGAUUGGUAAUACCGAGUUUCAGAAAGAGAAAAAAGGUCUCUUCAUAAAUUCUUUACUGAGUUUCAGAAAUUCUUCAGAAAAGGAAUCUCUCCGACAUACUGUAUGCCCACGCAACCCGAGCCCAAGACGACCUCCACGUGCCGAUGAGUCCCACAGACCAGAGCACCCCUCUGCCUCCCAAGCGCCGUCGCCGCUGCGCGCACGCCGGUGGACUUGCUUUGUGCGCCGUCCCAACAGCAUUGUCAUAUAAUGGUUGUUUUUGGAAGAACCAUCUCAAAAUGUUACCUACCCAAGGUGUCCUGGAUGCCAUGAUACCCACCUGUCUAUGCAUGAUGGUGUGGGUUACUGCAACGGAUAGGCAAUUCAUACCCGCCCUCGAGGGCCCUUCCUGUACUAUGGUCCGCAUUCGAACCUCUGACAUUUUGUGCUCAAAUAAUCAAGGCAACAUGAUUCCAACACAAAAAUCAAAUGAAUAAAUCAACUAAAGGUUGGACUCUGAAGUGAUCUCCAUGUAUACUAAUUUGAACGAUAGCAAUACCAUACAAAUACAUAUUUGCACUCUUUAACAUUCUAGGCUAAACAACAAGAACACUAACUGAAGAAUAUGCACGCACUCCAAAAUUGACAAAACAAAACAAAACAGUACACUGAUGUGGAGUUGGAAAACUGUCCUGCCACAGAGUCUUGUUUCCAGGGUUGCUCAUCACAUCAGCCAAGACGAAACAACAAACGCCACAGGUAGAAAAGGAGGAGUCUUUCCAAGCCACAGCGGGUGCCCAGGAGCAGCAGGACGAGAAUGAGGAGCACGACAAGACGAGGCUCAAUGUUUGAUUCCCUGGCCUCACGACGAAAGUCCACCACAUCCUCGGGAACCGCCGCCCUCCACUCGAUCUGGCAAGGGAUCGAGCUGCUAGUUGCUCUCUGAUCAGGAAGUGACGGGGAGGCCGCCUGGAUGGCAUACGACUGAUUCGACAAGCUUUGGGCGUGCGUGUUCCCAUAGCCAUGCUGCUGCAAUAAAAUGACAAAAUUAAUCCACCAGAAGCGAAAUUCAGGUCGACGACAAUACGAUAAUUAACGAAGGUAAGUAGCAAUUAAUUACUAAAUUAAGACAUAUGAUCAAACUCGAAGUAGUAGUAUAUACCUCCAGCUGGAUCUGCAUUUGGGGCAGCGGGCGAGGUAAUCUAUGAUGCUCCAUGUGGUGGCCGUGCAUCAUUAUAUGGCGCUAGUAGGAAGUAAUUAAAGUCAUCAAAUUGGGUGGGGCAUAUUGAUCAACUCUUGCUAGAACCAGAAGGCAGGAUAGUAUAAUAUAUACCUGAAUCCGCAGAUGCUCCAUGUGGUAGAGGUGCAUUGUAUACACGAGGCCGUUGGUGUAGAGGCUGGUGACGAGGAGCACGUCCAUGAUCCGGUCCUUGAUGUCCCUGUUGAGCACACGCAGCUGGGCGGACACCCUAGCGGCUUUGAGGAGGCGGAUCAGGGCGCCGCAGUCCCUCUGGCAGGCCUUGACGCCCUCGAGGGCCUCGCGGAGCGCCUCGCGGAGGUCGUUGAGCACGGAGGCCACCGCCGGGUGCCGCCGCGUGGCCUCCGCCAGCGUGUAUGCCUGGGCGGCGAGCGUCCCGUGGAGCUUGGCGGCGCGCCUGGCGAUCCGGAGGCACUCCUCCCUGUUCUGCUUCGCCGUGUCCGCCUUGGCCCCGAUGGCGACGGCGAGCGUGAAGAUGAGCCUCAGCACGCCCCCGCCCACGCCGAAGACCGCCAGAUCCACCAUGGCUGCAGGCUCGGUUCAAUCAAAUCAAAUCGGAGAGAGAGAGAGAGAGAGAGGGUUUGGGGAAUGGGGAUCGGCAAGAGUACUUCCUUGACUUUCUUUGCUUUUGCUUUGGGGGGAGGGUUUGAUUUGGGGGUCGAUUGGAGGGCGGGAGGGUUAUAUAUGGUAGUACGCCGUUAUCGGAUACGGGUCUCUGCACUAGCGGAUACGGGUCUGCACGCGCUAUGGAGCCUAUGAUGAUCGCUGUUAUAGCUAUCACUGGGGUCAACUCGAUCUACACGCAAAGAGUAGCAGCAACUCCCGUAGUCGUCGGACGUUCUUCGCAUUCGGCGCAGGUGCCACCGUCUGCAUCAUCGACGUACCGUCGCCUCAUUUCAAUCAGGGGAGCCCACACAAAGCUCGACGCGUGUCGACGCGCAGUCACCUCGUUUCAACAAGGGAGGCCCCACAAAAGCUCGACUGGUGUGGAGUGGGAGUUCACUCCACAGAUCGCCUGCUCCUGUCCUCGGAGCAUCUUUAACGGAUAUCUUAAAAUGUUGGUCCUUCAAAAACAAGGUAGACACUAAAACUGUUUUAACGUAUUGGUUUGUGUCGGCAGAACAAAUCGCUUAAAACAUACUCACUCCAUUUCAUAAAGGUUGCGUAUUUUGUUUAGUUAAGACAAAGUUUUGACCAAUGAUAAUUCUAUUAAUAUGUGUUCUUACAUACAUGAAAUUUAUAUUAACAGAUUCGUUUUUAAAAAUUCUUUCUAAUAAUCUUGAUUUUCUAUCAUAUAGGUUACAUAUUAAUACCGCAAUUCUUGGUCAAAGACUUAUCUUAACGAAACAAAAUAUGCCAACCUUUGUGAAAUGGAGUAUUUUGUUUCGUUAAGAUAAGCCUUUGACCAAAAAUAUUAACAUGAUAUAAUAUUGUACCACGUAGGAUCAGACGGAUUUUACCAAAUUUGGUAGUGGCCCACGUGUGUGGGAGGUGGAUCAAAUGAGGAAUUGAGUAUUUAAACGGCGACCCUUAAAACUUUUUAUAGGCCGACUGUUUUAAAGGGGUUUGUUCAGGGCAUCUUUUUUCACGCGAAAACCCAAAAAUCUACAGAGAGAUUGUAUAAGGGAUCUACUAGAGAUGCUCUCACCUCCUGUUUCUAGCUCCACUAGUAUUAUUGCUGCAAAAAAAUUGAACUGACGAUAUCUGAAACGACUCGUUACAUGUACACGCACGUCAGCCACCGUUUGGAAAAAUAGGAAUGAGAUUCUAUUCCUAUAAAAUUGAACCCAAUGGCAUUCUCCUCUAAAUUUGGCAACUGUCAUUGUGACCUUCAAUCCUAAAGCCGACGAAUUUCUCACUCUCGGAGCAAUUUUAUCUGUCAUUUUCGUUUAUAUUGUAUUUCUGUUUUAUCAAUUGCUCAGAAGCAUUCUCGGGCCACGUGCGUAUCUUCCUUUUUCAGCAUACGACUGAAAGAGCCGUGGUCGCCACACGUGUUGAACGCGUCGUACAGAUUAAGCUGCUAGCUAGUGGUUCCCGUAUCCCACCCUACAAUUACUCCCUCCAUUAAUAUAAGGCGUAUUAAGUUUUCGUUAAGACAAAGUUUUGAUCAGGAAUUACUCUAUUAAUAUGUGUGUAAGAUAUGAAACUACAAUAUUUUGAAUUUUGUUUACAACGAAUCUAGCGAUAAUAAUUUCAUGUCAUAUAAACCAUGUCUUCACGUUGUAAUUUGUGGUCAAAUCUUUGUAUUGACUCUUAAUGGCCUUUAACAUGGAAUGGGGUACAUGAUUACUUGUUCCGUUAUACUCAUGAAUCAGGACUCAGGAGUAUCUGGCAACAGCGACAACGACAGCAGAAAGUAGGUCGCCACCGCCCGCCACGUGCACGCCUACGUACGUUUAUGCGGGGGCAAGAGCCGCGCGAGCAAGCAAGUGAAUUCAGUGAACCCACGGGAAAUGAGACAACGGACAGAGACAUGCGAGAAGGAAAAAGCUCAAAAAUGAUUGCUCCUUUGUUUUCUCUUGCUGAAGGAACGGCGAAGCAACAAACCGUGCUGUCUUUGUCAGACUGACACGGCAAAUUAAGCAACAAACCAGCUGUCGAGCUUGAUCUGUCCAUUAUCCAUCCAAGGAGGACAAAAAGAAAAAACAAUUCGGAAACUCACGCUCCCGUACAAGCCGCUCACGACACGUGGAGAUACGCACCCGUACGGUACGGUAUACUACGCGGCGUCCAGUCGCCGCCUUGCUCAAAACGCGUGGGCCCCGGCUGCUGCCGCCCCGCCACGUGGGCGGGAGAGGGGUCUCUGUCCUUGUAGCUGCCGGCGUGAACUUAUCGCCGGGCAUUGCAGUGCCUAUCAAUGGAUAAUCUAAGCUUUCCGGUGUGACGAUGACAACUUGACAAGGGAAAACCCUAAAAAAAGACAAGGGGAAAGUUUCCAGUCGGAUUCCAAAAUUCUCCGCUGGCGUGCGGUUGGACACCACGUACGACGGACGAUCCGACUUCUGGAACCCCGCGCGGGUCCGUGCUGCCGUUCCCACUGGCUGCCAGAAAAGGCCCACCGGCAGCUAGCCAGCGCCACCAACCGCCGUCAGUCAGAGAGUGAUGUUGUGCCGAAUAGGAAGGGCGCAAAACGACAACAUAACGACGCAAAGAUGUUUUUCGCAGAACGCGCCGUCAGUCAAAUUGCUGCGCUCGCGCGUGGACGGGCCAGCCGACCAAUCCGACGUCCGAAUCAAACAGUCCAGUCUAGCUUGUCCCCGUAAUUUCCGUACGACGCAGAUGCAUGUAUGUACUCUACUCUUUCCCCGCAAAAAAAAAAAAACCGGUACUCUACUCUAUCUCUAUCUCGUCUCUCUGCCCGGUAAUAAUUUUAGAGCUUGGGUGAGUUGGAUCUCCCGAUCCGAUCGAGGGUGAGUUUCAGCACGAGAGCCUCCCGACCGAUCGGUAACCCAAACCCGACAUUACUUUAGUUUGACGCAUUUUUUUAACUUCCGACUACCGAAAAUGAAGAUUUGACUGAUCUUACUAAUGUAAUUAUUCCUACUGCUGCUACGUAUUCUCUCCGUUCCAUAAAUAUUGCAUGUAUCUAAAUAUUUUUUUAAAAUAGAUACAUUUAUUUUCGAACAAAUUUGAGACAAAAAUUAUGAAACGGAAGUAAUACUUGUAUACGCCGACUAGUUGGUCAAAACUCGAAAAAAGAGCGAGAAAUUAUCAUCGCAAACCCAGCCUGCCGCGAAAAUUCCCGCAGAUCGACGUAUGUAGGGGAAGUAUCUGCGUACUCAUCCAUCUGUAGUGCAUAGCAGCAACUAACUUCUGUCACUAGCUAGUCCCAAGCUUUCCGAUAUGUCAAUGACAGGGAAAUUAAUUAGCUUUCAGAUAUGUCAAUGACAGGGAAAUUAAUUAAAGGAAAAAAAAAGGGGUCGAAGAAGAGAAUACGCGCUAAUUAUGCCCCAAGCUAAUACUGCGCUGCUGGACGUACACACGUCGAGCAGCGGGCUGUACGUAGGAGAACUGCUGAUACGAUUCCGGAAUGUUCCGUACUCCGCGUCCGCGUCGACGGUGAACCGCGCGACCCGGACGAGGGAGAGCUGCAACGACUCACGUGCGUGCGUUUCUCCUGCCGCUCCCUCCUGCUGUCACUGCCAGCCGGGGCCCAUCAGCCAGCGCACCGAACCGUUCGGCGAUCAGCUACCUUUUUUUUUUGGAGGGGAUCAGUUAAUUAUUAAUCCUCAACCAGUUGCUACACUUAGCGCCGGCCGUUGCAUGUCGACCAGACUUAUUCCUCAGAUCGAGAUGGUUACGUCCGUGCAAACUAAUAGAUGCCCUUUAUAAAAAAAGUUUAAUUGGAUCUAUGUCACUCUCUAUCUCACCGGUUGGAGAUAUGCUAUUACAAAAAUUUAACUUGGAGAAAUUCCACUUUAACUUUCUUAUGCCUCUAUCAACGCCAUUCUGUCCACUUAAGACCAACAAGUGUUCAUAAAAUACAUGUAUUUCAGCUUGUACAACAAUGUUUUACCAUAAUACCUCUAUUUACAAUGUUCAGUAGUACGUUCGAGUCUUCCAGGUGCCAUAAAGGUUAAAAAAAAUCAAAUUUGGCCCAAUGUUCAAUGUUCUUAGAAAAAUCUAUAAAAAUUACAGAAAAUAAAAAACAGUAAUAUCAGUUUACCGUUGGGGACGGGAUAUGAGGAACGCGUGGGGAAGAGGAAUAAAAUUGUUUGAAUUGGGAUGGAAAAAAAUUGUUCUUAUAGAGCUAUGUCUAUACGUAUUUAGACAGUAUACGUGCUGGUAUUGGAGAAAAUGGCAUGAAUAGAUGUAUAAAAAAGUUAGAAUGUCAUUUCUCCAAGUCAAGUUUUUGUAAUGACAUAUUUACAACCGGUAGAAAUUAUAAUGGCAUAGAUCUAAUUAAACCUAUGUAAAAACGGAGGGAGUACGUCCACGAGCAACCCACGUUGGCUGCUUUUUGCUUCGUCGUGUCACAAUCUGACAAGGACAGUAACUUUGUAUUGGAUUAAUUUACAAUAUGCAGCUGCUUAACAAUUUUUUUAGUUCCAUUUCCUUUCUUGAAUUAGUUUGCACCUAUGUCUGACUAGUAUUUUCUUUAUGCGUUUAGGGCAUAUCUUGUUGAAAUUGCAACAGAUAUUUGUAGCAAAAAGCAACAAACGACUCACGUCCUAUCACAACUCACGAGAUAACUGAGAAGUCGACGUGUGGAAUAAAAGGCCAAAAAAAGUAUGAUGGCAUGGCCAGUGUCUUAGGUUGUGCGUACCUUUACAUCAGUGGAUGGCAUAAGUACUGAUAGUAGUAUGGUUUUAAAGUUCGGCAAUCAUUCUUUUUCCUCGUAAAGAAAAGUGAGCAAUCAUUUUCUUGUCUCUGCCGUCCCAUUAAUUGUCUCUACCUGAAGUUAACGCCCGCGUCAGGACCGUGGCGCCCAUGGGCGAACUGGAUUGGUAGUACACUACUCCUACUUGCGUUGAUCGAGCUUGGUCGCUUCCUUGCCCGCGAAGCUCUCCAUGCGUACGCCGUGGGCAACUGGUGGUUGAACCGUCCUUGUCAACUUGUCAUUGCCAGAGAGAUGCACAUAACGGAGAAACUAACUAAUUAUGUCCGUUGAUAAGCCUACACGUGUAGGGUUGGAUGUGUCCGACCGAACCCGCCCAACUUAUAAUUUCGCGUAUCACGACACCAUAGUUACCUCUGUCUCUGUGAACCCACAUGGCAGUAGAACACUAGAACAGUAGCUAGUCCAGUCUUUCAGAUUUGUCAACGACAGGGAGACUAUUUAAUAAAGAAGAAAUUAAAGGGCACGAGAGAAUAUGCGCUAAUUUAUGCCGCUAGCCGAUCUCCACCGUCCGUGCGGCUCCACACGACGACGACCAGAGCGCGCGGCCGGGCCGCUGUAGCGUUCAAGCCCGCGUGUUCCGGAUUGUUUCGGAAUGUUCCGGAAUGCACGCAGUAGUACGUUGUGCUCCACGUGUCCAUGCCGACGGGUGGACGCAGCGUACAUUGAGCGCGAGGCUCACGUGCCGCUCCCUCCCACUGCUCACUGCCAGGCGGGGCCCAGCAGCCAGCUGCAGCAAACCGUUCGUCCCUCAGUUGAUUAAUUGCAGUAAAGCCGUUGCGACACUCUGCUUGUCCCCUCCCCUGCAAAAAGUGCAGUACUAUCACAUGAACAGCUUCGAAACAAAUCGAUCUGCUCCACAAGUGUAGAUUCAGGAGAGGGUACACCGCUUCGAAUUUGAACCAUACUUUCUCCGUUCUAUAAUUCUUGUCUCAAUUUUAUUAAAAAAUGGAUGUAUUUAUUUCUAAAAAAUGUCUAGAUACAUGUAAAAUUUCGACAAGAAUUAUAUAACGGAGGUAGUACAUUUUAGAGAAAAUCUGGGGCAAGAAUUAUGGAGGGGGGGUAACAUUUUGAGAUAGUUCUUCCUAAAACAACCAUUAUAUUACAAUACUAUGAAAUAAUAUGAUGUCUAAACGAUAUGACAAUUCGACAAUACUGUCAUGUAUGGAAGAUUGGAAGUGCGCCAAAAUGCCUUUGUAAAGAAGCAAAGCAUUUCUUUCCAUCUUUUUUGAAAAGGCAAAGCAUUUCAUAUGACCAAUAAAUUCAUAAGACAAUAUACAUCCACCAUCAAGGAAUCAUAAAUAUAGAUGGAUCAGAGGUUCAAUUCACAUUUAGAAAGAUAUAACCGUCAAAAUAUAUUGAUCAUGACAAGAGAUAGAAAAUGAGCUGGACAGAUUGCAUUACUUCCCAAACAACAUAAUAUAUUGAUCAUCAGAAGAGAUAGAAAAUGAACUGGACAGAUUGCAUUACUUUUCAAACAACAAUUUCACAUGUAGAACAAAACUGUGGAAACAACUAUCUAUUCGUGUGGAAAACAAAACAAUGGAUCUACCUAUUGGUGGGGCAGAAACGGGUACAAAAAACUACCGUUUCCACAGGCCGGCUUAUGUACAGUCCGGCAUUUGAUUUACAAUUAAGAUCUCUUUACGAUUCGAAGGAUCAAUAGGGGCAUACUGCACUGUACUAGAGCUUUGCGUGUUUCGUGAUCAGAUCAUCUACACAGAUCAAGUGGUGUAAGCUGGGUGCUGCGGGCGUGGAAUCAGGUUAUUAUUGUCCGCGAGCAUCCUGAGGACGCCAGCCAUGUCAGGGCGCAGCACCGGGUCCUCUUCGAGACAGAGCAGUGCCACAUGGAUGCACCUCUUCAUCUCCUGGAACUGCGACCCCAUUGUGCCGGUGGCACGGGCUAGCAUUGGGUCAACACAAUCGUCCUCCCUUCCAUUCUGCCAAAACUCCCACACCUGCACAUACGCGGAAUUAAGGAUGACUCAACAAAAAUAAAAGAACAGAUAAUUGAGUAUGUGUAGAUAUGCUAACUAAGAAGAUACUUACCAACUCAUUUAGACGUUCGUCCCGAUUAUCAUCCCCUUUCCGAUAACGGCUCCAUCCAGUAACGAGCUCGAGGAGGAGGACGCCAAAGCUGUAGACGUCACUUUUUGCUGAAAAUCUGCCAGACUUGAUGUAUUCUGGAGCUGCGAAACCACUUGAAAAACAAAAACAAAGAAAUUGCUCAUUUGAGAAAAGAAAGGAAGUAAUUAAGCAGCGAUUGUAGUCUAUUGAAAUGGCAACUUUUCUUAGGUACAUACCAUGGUCGUACUACAGAAUCAACUACCCCCUCCUUGGCAGAAGCAGGUAACACCUUGGAGUUUCCAAAAUAACAAAUCUUGGGAGUAUAGUCAUAGUCCAGGAGGAUGCUGCUGGGCUUUAAAUGAAGAUGGAUGAUGCCUAGUCCGCAUUGCUCAUGCAGAUAAUCUGCGCCUCGGGCAAUCCCUCGAAUUAUAUUGAAAAGCUCUGGCCACGGUAGCCCAUUGCCUGAAAAAACAGUAAAUGGAUAACUCAUUAAUCACAUGAGAUAGAGAAACAGAUUAUUUAGAGAUAUUUAGAUUUAGUUGUAAAGGGAACAUGCCAUGUAUGUGCUUGGACAAGCUUCGGUUGUGCAUGUAUGGAUAGACCUGAUAAUACCGUCCACCAGAAGAGCCACGGCCCUCAAGUUUCAAAAUAUUCUUAUGCAGAAGCUUUGCUGCCAAAUUUUCCUCAUUCUGGCAUUCGUUUCUGCAAGCCUUGUAUUGAUUCUUAUUAUAUUCUUUGACGGCAACUUCAGAACCAUUGGGUAAUUCACCCUGAAACAAAAAAAAGUAACAGCCACUCUAAUCAUACUAGUAUAUUCUUUAUCAAAGAUAACUAUUGGAAAACUCAUGCGCCUUAUAUUUCUCAACUGAGGGAUUACAAUCUUAUAUUUAGUAACUUAAGGUCACACAAAAAUUCAAACAUGGAUCAGAGAAAGUUAAAAAAAUGACUCGUCAAUUUCGUGAUUAAUACAGAGUAUAAAGUUUAGAAUUCAUAUGUACUUUCAAUUUAAUGGCUCAUAGGCACGAAAACCACAGUGAGCAUAAGCAAUAGAAUAGGCUGUUACUAAAAGGAAGAAUGUUCGAUCUAAAGUGAGACCGCACAACUUAGACUUUCUAUGAUAAAUACUGUACAUGAGAUGUUGGCUGAAUAUUAAGUAUUAGCACAUUAAACAUGCAAGAAGCCUACAAUUGAGAAAAAACUUAAAACAGAGUUGGCAAAAUAACCAUGCUAGCAUAUGGGGUAUACCUUGUAGACGGUACAAGAGUCACUUUUUCCGAUCCAGUUUUCUUCUGAGAAUUUAUUUGUAGCAACCUCCAAUUCAGAGAAAUCGAAACUAUUGAAACCUGUGUACAUGCUAGAAGCAAAUCAUCAACAAAAUAUACAUAUAUAGACAUGGGAUCAAUAAGCAAACCACAAGAAAGCAGGAAAGAAUAUGGCAGCUAUGCAUGUAUAGAUAGAAACUAUUUUCGUAGAAUGACAGUAAGUACAGCCUGUAUAGCUAAUAGUGCCUUGAUGAUGCAGAGGAUGGAUGUUGUUUCUCUUUUGAAAAUAUCGAACAAUAUACAAGAUCUUACCUGAUGUGGCAGAAAGCUUCUCGUCCUUGGAAGAGUUUGGAAAAGAGGCCACCUGAGAUGAGUAUGUACAGGUUAAUAAAACAACAAUAUAUAAAUAUCCAACCGAUAUAUACUGAAAAUCGAAGAAGAUAUUGAAACCAACAUUUGUAUGUUUGACUUUGGACAGUUUGUAAAAUGGGUAUAUAUAUCAAGGACAGCAUUGAAUGCAACGGGGAUUUCUGACAUGAAUGAUCUACAAGGAUCUAAAAACCAUCAUUUCCUAAUUAAACUGCAAUUAAUAUCAGAAGAAGCAUAAUCUGCCCCAUAAAUUGAGAUUUCCAUCGUCUCCUGCUACAAUUUGGACUUGAUCUCGAAACUAGCACAGCUUUGAUUUCAGAUUAUAAUAAGAGUGCAAGCUAACACAUAAUUGCAUUUGGGGGUAAAACGUAGGCAAGUAAACUGCAAUUCAUACUAGACGAAACAUGAUUUCCCCCCUCAAAUUCAGCUUUUUGAUUGUCUCCUGUCCUAACACUGCAAGAAGCAAACACAAAGCUACUGUUUGUUACCUGAAUUUGGGACAGCGGGCGAAUUGGUGGCGAUCCCCCAUCUCCACGAUGCUUCGACUGGUGCGCAUCAACCACGACGACGCUGUUGGUGUGCAGGCUGGCGACGAGGAUGACGUCCAUCAUCCGCUCCGUGAUGACCUGGUUCGCCCGGCGCAGCUCGGCGGACACCCUGUCGGCGUUGACGUGGCGGGACACGGCGCCGUCCUCAUGGCAGUCCAUGACGGCCUGGAGGGCCCGGUGGAGCGCCAGGUGGAGGCCCUCGAGCGCGGACGCCACCGCCGGGUGCUUCGCCUUCGGCGGCGCGCCGCCGACGGAGACCGAUGAGUCUUCGAGCGAGGAGAGGGCCGCGUCGAGCGUGCUAGCGCGGGUCGCGAUGUCGAGGCAUUCGGCCCUGUUCCGCUUCGCCUUGCUGGCCGCGGCGUUGAUGGCGACGGCCAGGCUGAAGAUGAGCUUCACCACGCUCACGCUCCCCGCCGCAACGAGGACCAUCGACUCGAUCCGAUUCGGUCCUCUUGUGCGCGCCUGCGCCUGCAAUAUCCAGGGAGUAGAAAUCGAUUAGAGAUUAUAGGGCGGGAGUAGAAUGCACCGAUUUACCUUUGCGAUUCAAGCUAGUUCGAUGCGGAAAAGGGGGAGGAGAUGAGCGGAAACCUUGCCGCCGCCGAUUAACAGUACGGGCCGCGUGUGCCGGAGACCUCAUCUCCCCGCGAAUCGCGCUUCGAGAACUAAGCUAGCCAGGAGGCGGCGCGGGGCAAGUUUGGG